UACGGGGGGGGCAAGCGUUGUUCGGAAUUACUGGGCGUAAAGGGCUCGUAGGUGGCCAACUAAGUCAGACGUGAAAUCCCUCGGCUUAACCGGGGAACUGCGUCUGAUACUGGAUGGCUUGAGAUUGGGGGAGGGAUGCGGAAUUCCAGGUGUAGCGGUGAAAUGCGUAGAUCUCGGGAGGAACACCGAUAGCGAAGGCAGCUUCUUGGCCCAUUCCUGACAUUGAGGCACGAAAGCGUGGGGAGCAAACAGG
rnacentral:rRNA from 1 species